UAGUACGAGAGGACCGGAGUGGACGUACCCCUGGUGUACCGGUUGUCCUGCCAAGGGCACCGCCGGGUAGCUAUGUACGGAAGGGAUAACCGCUGAAAGCAUCUAAGCGGGAAGCUCGCCUCGAGAUGAGAUCUCCCAUCCCCUUUGAGGGAGUAAGACUCCUGGUAGACCACCAGGUUGAUAGGCCACAGGUGUAAGUGCAGCGAUGUAUGUAGCCGAGUGGUACUAAUAAGUCGAGGGCUUAAUGGU
rnacentral:rRNA from 1 species